CCGUGUAUCACUUUUAAUUUAAAAAAUCUUGAAAAUAUUUAGUCAAUUCAAAGCUCCAUCUCCCUUCAGAGCUGCCUCUGGUCUCUCAGGGUUCUUCUCUUCAGGAUCUCCUUGUCUCCCACAAGGCAUCUGAGCCUAGGAGCACUUUGUGGUUGUAGCAAAAGGGGUCUCUGUUCUGAAUCCUGCCUCUUCUGGGCAUCCUUUGUUGUCCCUUGAGGUGUGGCUGGUGCCUUCUGCAUGGUUUGAGCCUUGUGCUGGGGCUCAGUGCUGACUGUGCCCACACAAUGCCCUUUGUGAGGUUUCUGCUCUCUGUGGCCUUCUUGUCCCAACCUCAGGCCUCCACAUGUGACUUCUGCACCUCAUCUCUGGGAUGGUUUCAGUGGGUCCUAGAUUGCUUUCUGUGCUCCCUGGGACAGUUGGUGGCACUCUGUGAGACUACUCUGAGGUACCCUUACAAGCUACUCUUAAUUUUCCCCGCUGUUCUGCUUGUUGGACAUGGCAUCAUGCUGCAAUGUUAACAGUCUUUCAAAGCUAAGCGCGGAGGAUGUGAUUCCAUCCCUGGCAGUUCUUAGAUUCCCUACCAGUCCUUUCCAUCAUGGGCUCCUGUGGAAAAUGACCCCAGCUCAGCUCAGUAGUUGAUGGGACAUCUGAUUCAGGUUGGACCCAGCCCAGACAUCUGAUUCAAACAAUAUUCUUCUCCAGGAAUUUUGUAACCAGCACUGGUAAAGGGAGGGAAGUGCUCCCCAGUGGGGAGAGCUGCAGAAUGUGAGACUUGGAAACCAAAGGCCGCCAUGUUUUCUGUCUCAUGAUGGAAUCCAAUCUUCUUUGGCGGGGAAAAUAAAUGAAGCCAACACCAGACAACAUAUAUCAAGCAGGGGCCAUUGCUCCAGCCUGACUCCAGGAAUCAGCAGACAGCGCAGCCUCAUUCUCCACCUGCUCCCUGCAGUACAGCCUCAGAACCACACAGUUGCAGCCAACCAGCUCCUGACAUGGAACUUGAGCAACAAAUGCCCUUUGUUUUUGCAAGUCCCUGAGAUUUGGAAGUUGUUACACAGCAUUCUCUCAGCCAGAAGUGACUGACAUGGUAUCAUUGCAGUCUUGAUCAAUUUGCCCUAUGCAAAGUGUUUUUAUAUGCCAUGAAUUUCUGAAGAUAGAACUACUGUUAUUCCCCAUGCAGCAGCUGAGGAAACUGAGUCUUAGAAUGUAUAAACAACUUUCCCAAGGCUACUGAAAGUGAUGGGAAUCAAAUAUAUCUUUGCCUAACUCCAGAUCCCAUGCUUUUGAAGAUAUUUAUACUGCCUAAAGCUGUAACAGACUUUUCUAAUAGUCAUACAUGGCAUAUUUAGUUGCUCUCCAUGGGGAAAUAAUGACCUGACAUGGAAAAUAUUGGUGUACUUUAUUAUGAGAUUCUAAUAAGCAACCAUUAUACAUGUAUAUAAUAUAUACAUGCAACCUCUUAAGCUUAUGCCAUUCUGUAUGGAUGUUACUAGCUUGAAGAAAUUCUAAAGAGUAGGGAUAUUAAAAAUACUGAGCCAAUAAAGUAGGAUAAUUUUUUUAUUGUAGUCAAUUUUCAUUUAUAAUAUUAAAUUCUUG
rnacentral:lncRNA from 1 species